UACGAAGGGGGCUAGCGUUGCUCGGGAUCACUGGGCGUAAAGGGCGCGUAGGCGGAUCUUUAAGUCGGGUGUGAAAGCCCCGGGCUCAACCUGGGAAUUGCAUUCGAGACUGCAUGGCUAGGGUGCGGAAGAGGGAAGCGGAAUUUCCGGUGUAGCGGUGAAAUGCGUAGAUAUCGGAAGGAACACCAGUGGCGAAAGCGGCUUCCUGGUCCAGCACCGACGUUCAGGCACGAAAGCGUGGGGAGCAAACAGG
rnacentral:rRNA from 1 species